AAGUGGUCAACAGCCAUGGCCGCUGCUGGGCUGGGCCCGGGUGUGAUGUGCAUGCAGCCAACCUGCAGCCUGCAGGUUGUGUGAAGUGUGAAUGUGAUGGAUGUGAAGGAUUCCAGGGCUGGGAGGCCUUGAUGGGGGUUGUUGGAAGGGUUGUUGACAGGCGCUGUGAUUGGCGGAGAGAGAGGUCUGCUUAAGCGCCGAACAUGCAGGCGUGGAUGUUUUCUGUAUUUGUGGUUCCUCUUGGAUUUGCACGGAGUACGGGAGUCUUGUGUUUUGUUUCUGGGCCCUUCUUUCUUUUGUUACUUGUUCUUGGCUGGAUUUUGUAUGGUCGAGAAAAGGAUGAUAACGAGCAACCAAUAACGAACUCAUGAAUGGGACACCCGCCGCCCCGUCGCACCAGCAGCCAAGCCAAGGUUGAGGUCGAGUCCGGG
rnacentral:sRNA from 1 species